GGUAGUGUAUCAUAGUGGUAAUGAGGAGGGCUCACAACCGAGUGGUUGCUGGUUCGAUUCCCCACUUGGCCACUGCUG